UUUAUACUACUUUCGUUUCAUAAUUCUUGUCGAAAUCUUACAUGUAUCUAGACACUUUUUAGGAAUAGAUACAUCCAUCUUUGGGCAAAUUUGAGACAAGAAUUAUGAAACGUAGGGAGUACUAC
rnacentral:pre_miRNA from 1 species